rnacentral:rRNA from 1 species
UACGUAGGGUGCAAGCGUUGUCCGGAAUUAUUGGGCGUAAAGAGCUCGUAGGCGGUUUGUUGCGUCGGCUGUGAAAUCCCGAGGCUCAACCUCGGGUCUGCAGUCGAUACGAGCAAACUAGAGUGUUGCAGGGGAGACUGGAAUUCCUGGUGUAGCGGUGAAAUGCGCAGAUAUCAGGAGGAACACCGGUGGCGAAGGCGGGUCUCUGGGCAAACAACUGACGCUGGAGGAGCGAAAGCGUGGGGAGCGAACAGG